AGAGGAUCUCUGGCACCUGGGAGUUUGGAGCCAGCCUAGAAGGCAGAAAUGAGAAGGCCCACUUCUUAAGAAAGGAGGGAGGAGUAGAGAGGAAUGGACUAUAGAAACAGAUAACACACGUGUGCAGAUAUGCAUGUGUAGAGGCCAUUGCUAAUGUUCCUGCCUGCUGGAUACUUUAUUAGUUCAUUUUUAGACAGCCUCAUACUGCUCUGAAACUCACCAAGGUUGUGGGCACUUGGGAUCUGAUCUCAGGUCUUUGCGCUCAAGCAGCAGGCAGUUUAUGAACCACCCGAGCCCUCCACAGCCCCCAGUGAAACCUAGUUUAACAUUCAUCUCCUUCAGUGUAUAUUAUUGCAUUCAUUUAGUAUGACUGUAAUAAUAAAGACUAUGC